UCUACUUGGGCCUCCAGCAAGAUUGCAGAGAUACUCACUGUAUGAAAACAGUGCCGGUCACAUGGUCCGAGUUAAGAGGGGUCUCAAAGAUGACAUGUGAGUAGGAGACAUGCUGCACAAUGCCCAAAGCCCCAUGAACCUCUGGCACUUGAAAUUCUACUGAUCUAAGAAAUGGAGUGCACACUAAGAUAAUUUCCUUUUCUUCCUCAGAAAGUGAGCUAUGUCUUUGAUUCUACCUCUACUGCUCUCGCAUAUAAACUCCCAAAAUUUUCAGAAAGGCUAUCGACUCGUUAAGGAAACACGUCACCAUUAAAAAAAAAUUGUUUAACCAGGCAGGCAUUUCAUGCCUGUAAUCCCAGCAUUUGGGAAACUGAGGCAGGAGGAUUGCCAUGAGUUCAAUGUCCGAUUGAACCCCAUCUCUAAACAACUAUAUCAGUAAAUUUUUCCAACAGUUAAGGCAAGAAGUGAAAAAAAAAAUCUUUGGAGAUACGUGUAAUGUUUAAUGUUUAAUUUUUUUGUUUGUUUUGUCUUGUUAUUUGAAACAGGGUCUCACUAGGUAGACUUAACUGGCCUGAUACUUGGUAUGUAGACCAAACUAACCUCAAACUCAGAAAUCCGCCUCCGUCUGCAUCUCAAGUCCUGGGAUUGAAGGUGUGCUUCCCCACACACACCCAGCUAAAAUUUUCUGUAAUUCAUUAACUUAUUGUUGGCUUCUUGGAAGUCUUCUCUGUGCUUAGGGUGGGUCUUAAAGACCCCCAGAAACAGUCGCCAGGAUUUAUCCAAUCAUGAAAAAUAAGAUUCAUAAAAGAAACUGAGCCAGAUAAAGUGACCAAUUCCAUUCACUGGAGCUGCUCUUAGUCUAGGAAAUGAAAAGUAUUAUUACAAAAGUAGGAAGAAGUAUAUCUAGAAGAUCGGCCAGGUUUCCUGUGAGUGAGUGUGCACAGCCUCGGUAGUGAUACAAUUCGAGAUCAUGAGACAUACUUCUGUCAAAGGAAAUAAUGCGAAGGGUUUUUUUUGUUUUUUUUUUUUUUUUGCCUAAAAAAAUAGACAGUCUUUGCUCACAUGGGGAAUUCAGUGUUACUCCACGCAAACCGAAGAAAUGGCAAGCACAUUUGUUUUUCAAAAUACAUUUUUUAAAAGUGGUUACUAUAACCAAAUCUUCAACUAGUGCUAGAUAAAAAGCCUUUAUGUAGCUAAUUUUCCCCUCACUUCUUAGAAUAAUGUUGCAUAUGUAGGAUAGGCUCACAGGUGAAAAAGCACUUGUAAUCCCACAUUCAGCUCAACAUUUGUCAGUACUUUUUUUUAAAAAAAAAGUGGUUAUGAUUUAGAUAUAAUUUUUUAAACAAUGCAGAUCUAAGCAGUUUGAUAACUCCUUGUUACAAGUACCCAAAUCCAUACAAAAAGUCACCCCAGAAAGUCUCUCAUGCUUCUGUCCGUGCUGUCUCCCCCCAAGAGGCAACCAGUGAGCGCCUUGCCUUCGCACACCGUGUGUUCACUCAACCUAGUCUCAAACGUCGUGAAAAUAAACUCAUGUAGUAUAUACCUUGUGUCUCCCUUCCUCCUCAAGCGGAUUUUGGAAUUGAUAUGUGUUUCGUAUAUCAGUAACAAGUAGUAAUUUUUAAUAAGUAGUAUGCUGUACAAAUGUGUUCUCUUGUUCUUAGUGUUUGGAUUGUUUACAGCCUGGGGUAUUGUGAAUAAACCUAUGGACAUGGAAACUUU
rnacentral:lncRNA from 1 species